rnacentral:lncRNA from 10 species
UAGAGGUUAGAAGGUGGGGCUGAAAGUUCCAACCCCUUCAUUACACAGGUGGUUUGUUCCCCGGGAAACCAGCCCUCACUCUAAGGGUAUCCAGGAGCCCACUGAGAGCCACCCCGUUAGAACAAAAGAUGCUUUUGUCACUCAGGACAUUACAAAGGAGCUCUGUGUCAGAAGCUAGGAUUAAAGAACAAAUACAGAACAAAUUAUUCCUCCAGCACCCCUACUGCAAGGAUUUUAAGAACUCUAUCUCAGGAUAAAGACCUGAGGGUCACAAGAUGUACAUUGCUGGCCUCAGCUGGAUUUUCCCAGGGUCAGGUGCCCAUUCCUACCUAAUCAAAGGACACUUCUGCUGACCUGCACCUAGAAUACCCUGUUCUGUGCUGAUGACUCAGAUGUAAGAAUGAUGAAGUGCAUCGGCUGGCAUGCAGAGAACAAUAAGAAAAAGAACUGAGUUGUGGGAAGACAUGAGGAAAGGACAUGAGGCUCUUAAUAACAGCUGCCAAGUACUGCAGUCGGGAAUCUGGAGCAAAGUGAUUCAAUUCUGACCACUGCCUGUGAGUAAAUGGGAUUUUAUUUUUCAAUACUUUUGUUUAAUAGUACCUCCUUCAUUACAUGUGAACAGCACUCCAGGACAGUAAAUCAUGAAAUGGGAAUAAAGCCUGUAAUUUUAAUUAACAUAUUUUAAAAUGUUUCUAAUUUGUAUGCAUUUGAUCAAAUUUUCAUUUGCAUUGAGCUAUUUUUUUUCUUUCUCAUGUAAUGUUUGACAUUACCAUUUCUUUCUUUAAUGAAAUACUAAUAUUUAAUAAAAUAUAUUACAUCCU